UACGUAGGUGACCAGCGUUGUCCGGAUUUACUGGGCGUAAAGGGCGUGCAGGCGGUUUGUUAAGUGCAGGGUGAAAGCUCCCGGCUCAACUGGGAGAGGUCCUUGCAUACUGGCGAACUCGAGGGAGGCAGAGGAAAGUGGAAUUCCCGGUGUAGUGGUGAUAUGCGUAGAUAUCGGGAGGAACACCUGUGGCGAAGGCGGCUUUCUGGGCCUUACCUGACGCUGAGACGCGAAAGCGUGGGGAGCGAACCGG
rnacentral:rRNA from 1 species